rnacentral:rRNA from 1 species
GAUGAACGCUGGCGGCGUGCCUAAUACAUGCAAGUCGAGCGAAGCGGGGACGGGUGAGGAACACGGGGAUAAACUCCUAUAACCCUGGGAUAACUUCGGGAAACCGUAGCACAACCGGAUACUUAUAUGUUGAUCCGCGCUGCAUUAGCUAGUUGUUAAGUUAACGGCUUACCAAGGCAACGAUGCAUAGCCGACCUGCGAGGGGGAUCGGCCACACUGGAACUGAGACACGGUCCAGACUCCUACGGGAGGCAGCAGUAGGGAAUCUUCCGCAAUGGGCGAAAGCCUGACAGAGCAACGCCGCGUGAGUGAUGAAGGUCUUCGGAUCGUAAAACUCUGUUAUUAGGGAAGCGGUACCUAACCAGAAAGCCACGGCUAACUACGUGCCAGCAGCCGCGGUAAUAC